GUGCUGUUGACCAACCAAAUUUGAGUUAGCUACCCAUGGCCUUUAGCAGUAUUUCAGAGCACAAACACCCUCAAGUCCACUGCAUUCAGAGCUGAGUACUGUUGAGCAGAUUUUAGCAGUCAAUUACCCAGCUCUCAUUCAGACAAAGAAGAAAUGAAAAGUUUGCAACUUCUCUCUAUUUUGUUGAUUUCUUGGAUUAUCAUCCCAACAAAUACACAUGGAGGAAAGAAAAAAGGCACAUAACUUUUCAGUAUCUGAAAUGCACCAGGAAAUGCUGAGCUGGGAAGCUGUACUGGAGACAAGGAAUUCUACAGCAAAUGUGAAGCAAACUGGUGUACCAAUUCCACCUGUGACCACCCUACAGAUGACAAAAAGUCUAACAGAUAUAAAGCAACCAAAAUAAUAAAGCUUAGGAGUAUUGGAAAGUU